rnacentral:rRNA from 1 species
GAUCAUGGCUCAGGAUGAACGCUAGCGGCAGGCUUAACACAUGCAAGUCGAGGGGCAUCGCGGUGUAGCAAUACACUGGCGGCGACCGGCGAAAGGGUGAGUAACGCGUGAGCAACGUGCCCGGUAUUGGGGGAUAGUCAUUGGAAACGAUGCGUAAUACCCCGUAACAACAAGGAUCGCAUGGUUCAUGUUUAAAAGAUUUAUUGAUACCGGAUCGGCUCGCGUACCAUUAGGUAGACGGCGGGGUAACGGCCCACCGUGCCGACGAUGGUUAGGGGUUCUGAGAGGAAGGUCCCCCACAUUGGAACUGAGACACGGUCCAGACUCCUACGGGAGGCAGCAGUGAGGAAUAUUGGUCAAUGGCCGAGAGGCUGAACCAGCCAUGCCGCGGUGGCGGGAAGGACGGCCCUAUGGGUUAGUAAACCGCUUUUGUCGGGGAGCAAUAAGUGCUACGUGUAGCACGAUGAGAGUACCUGGCGAAUAAGCAUCGGCUAACUCCGUGCCAGCCGCCGC